GACCUGGUGGUGAAAUGUAUUAUACCCAUCACAGUUAUAUGUUCAUAGGAAAAUUGUUUGUGGGAAUCCCUGGUUUGAAUCCGGGCCAGGUCA